GACGAACGCUGGCGGCGUGCUUAACACAUGCAAGUCGAACGGGCCUGUCUUCUUUUUUGGGGGGUGGGUUGAGUGGCGAACGGGUGAGUAUCACGUGAGUAACCUGCCCUUCGGUCCUGGAUAACCGCUUGAAAGGGCGGCUAAUACGGGGUGGUCCGGUUGGUCCGCAUGGGCUGGUCGGGAUAGAUUCACUGUUUUUGGUGUUUCGGCGGGGGAUGGGCUCGCGGCCUAUCAGCUUGUUGGUGGGGUGAUGGCCUACCAAGGCGGUGACGGGUAGCCGGCCUGAGAGGGUGGGCGGCCCCACUGGGACUGAGAUACGGCCCAGACUCCUGCGGGAGGCAGCAGUGGGGGGUAUUGCACAAUGGGCGGAAGCCUGAUGCAGCGACGUCGCGUGAGGGAUGGAGGCCUUCGGGUUGUGAACCUCUGUUUCCGGUGGUGAAGGCCCUGUCCGUGUGGUGGGGUUGACGGUAGCCGGGGAUGAAGCGCCGGCUAACUACGU
rnacentral:rRNA from 1 species